rnacentral:lncRNA from 1 species
AUGGUUUGCUACUCUCUUGACCCAAAAAAACCCCACAAAAUCACGCAAAUCAAGAGGUCCAAACCUUCAUGUUCACUUUAAGAACACUCGGGAAACUGCCCAGGCCAUCAAGGGUAUGCAUAUCCACAAAGCCACCAAGUAUCUGAAGGAUGCCACUUUAAAGAAGCAAUGUGUGCCAUUCUGGCGGAAUAAUGGUGGUGUUGGUAGGUGCAGCCCAGGCCAAACAGUGGGCCAAACAGGCUGGAUGGUGGCCAAAAAAGAAUGCUGGGUUUAGACGUGGAUGCUCUAGUCAUUGAACACAGCCAGGUGAACAAGGAACCUAAGGGGUGCCGAAAAAACCUACAGAGCUCUUGGCCGAAUUCACCCAUACAUGAGCUCCCCCUGCCACACUGAGAUGAUCCUCACUGAGAAGCAACAGAUUGUUCCAAAGCCCAAAGAAGAGGCAGCACAGAAGAAAAAGAAAUCCUGGAAGAAACUGAAGAAACAAAACUCAAGGCCCGGGAAUAA